GAUAUUCUAGCGCUUCUCUCUGCAAAUGGAGAUCCAAAGGAAGGAGAAAAUUCCACAGGCAAGAAGUGACAAGUUAUAAGUAUGUUUUCUGUUCAAGAGGCAUGGACACUUGCACAGCUUGUUAGCAUGUCCUCCAUGAUCGCAUAGUAGAACCAUCUACAAGUUCCGAAAACGUCCAUAAUGUUGAAAACUUUCUUGGUCUGUUGAAACCAGCUGCUACGGUGUAUCCGCUCAACAAGCUUGUCACUACUGGGGCUCUUGCUAACGGGUCUGCGACGUCUUUUACUACGCGCUCGAGCAUGACGUGUGACCGAUGUUUGUCAAAACCUCCGCCGUCAGCUGAGGGCGUGAAGAAAGCAGAAUUAGAACAACUUGCCGUACUCACGAAAGAGCAGAAAUACCACUAAAUCGAACACAUGCCCUAAUCUACAGUUAUUAGAGAAAACAGAGAUACAAAAGACCACACAGAAAGUCUGAGAAUGAAGAAUAAGCCUAUCAGAAGUGAGAAUGAUAGCUAGACUGUACGUCAUCUUAAAACCUGAUAAAGGCAAUGGUAUUGUUGUUUUGAGUUAAUCGCAAUAAUUUUCUAGUAACACAAUUUAAGUGCCAAAUAUAUUUUCCCCUUUACUAAAGAAUGAAGGAUUAACAAUUGUAAUAUGUAUUAAUCAUUAGUGUCGGAUAUGUAUUAAAUAACAAUUGUAAUAUGUAUUAACCAUUAGUGUCUGAUAUGUAUUAAUCAUUAGUGUCGGAUAUGUAUUAAAUAACAAUUGUAAUAUGUAUUAAUCAUUAGUGUUUGAUAUGUAUUAAAUAACAAUUGUAAUAUGUAUUAAUGAUUAACAAUGCCUGAUUUGUAUUAAAUAACAAUACCUGAUAUGUAUUAAUCAUCAAUGUCUUAUAUGUAUUAAAUAACAAUGCCUAAUAUGCAUUAAGUAACAAUGCCUGAUUUGUAUUAAAUAACAAUACCUAAUAUGCAUUAAGUAACAAUGCUUGAUUUGUAUUAAAUAAGAACGCCUGAUAUGUAUUAAAUAAGAAUACCUGAUAUGUAUUAAUAAUCAAAACCUGGUAUGUAUCAAAUAACAAUGCCUGGUACGUAUUAAAUAACAAUACUUGUUAUGCAUUAAACAUCAAAGUCUGAUAUGCAUUAAAUAACAAUACUUGAUGUGUAUUAAACAUCAAAGCCUGAUAUGUAUUAAAUAACAAUGCCCGAUAUGCAUAAAUCAUCAAUGCGUGUUAUGUAUUAAAUCCAUUAUACUGUUAUCUUGUAUAACUUUGUAAUUUUAUAGAAAUAAAUUGUAUUUUUUUUACUA